GUCUACAGCCAUACCACCCUGAACAAGCCUGAUCUCGUCUGAUUUCGGAAGCUAAGCAGGGGCAGGCCUGGUUAGUACUUGGAUGGGAGACCACCUAGGAAGAACAGGUGCUGUAGGCG
rnacentral:rRNA from 1 species